AUUCAGCUGACAAGUCACAAAUAGGAUGAAACAUGCUUCCUGAAU
rnacentral:hammerhead_ribozyme from 1 species